rnacentral:lncRNA from 1 species
UUUCCAGGCUCCCCUCGGCGGGGCUGAAUGAUCAAAACUGGUGCAGCGCGGUUGGGUGGGAUGGGCAGGCGAGAAGCCCGUUUCCCUUGCCCCAGCCUGCGGGUCCCUCCCCUGAAAUGCGGUGUCAGAUGGUUACUCGUUGAUAUUUUGGAGAGGCCGCGGCGGCGGGCAGCGCAAAAUCCUUUCUGGGUUGAGUCUCUGCGAGCUGCCCGCUGCAGAUCUUACCAGGCUGGGGGCGCAGGAAGCGCGCGGACCCUGCGAGAGGGAGAAGUCCUAGGGACCCCGCACCCCAUCCGCAGCCCCGCAGGCACCCGAGCCCGGCUAGGCUUACCUACCCUCGAAAGGACGCUUGGAAGUAUACAAAUCCUUGGCGAUCCUGCCUUGGAGAACAACCGUGGUGAUAAGGUUUUAAUUAAAACAGAAGCCCGCUCUUUUCACCCCGCUCUGCGGACUCAGCGUUUUAGCACUGCUCCUAUCUUUUUUUUUUUUUUUAAGAAAAAUCCAUUUUUAAGGGAACUUUACUGGAGGAGAGGAGGGAUGAGCUUAGUUAGCGCGCCCAUUCGUUCUAUUUUCUUCACUUUUAGAAAUAAAAGGGAGGGUUCGGGAACGAACUGGGGGUGUCUAAUUUAAUUCCAGGAUAAAUUUGAGGGAAAAAAAAAAAGUUCGGGCUCUGGAGAGCAGUUUCAAGUUGCCCUUCUGUAGCUCCUGCGCUGGUUUCUAGGCCGCCCUCUUUUGGAAGCUGGAGCUCCGCAGGGGGAGGAGGGAGAAGUGAGAAGGGGAGAAAAGGAACGAAAAUAGCCGGAGCCGAAGGGAACUAGCGGUGGUGGCCGCGCUUGGAGCUGGGCGCACGGGUCUCAGUGGCAACCUGGGCGGCGGGAGGCGCCCGGUGCAGCCCCGGGACAACAAGGAGCAAAGACCGAGAGAGGGGGGUGUUAGAGAAAGGAGGUAUUGUGUCUGUGUGCCU